rnacentral:lncRNA from 1 species
GUAGAGAAGGAAAGGGAAAGGGAAAGAGCGUUGUAUGCGUAUGUGUGCAUGCUAGUGUAUUUAUACGCGUGUGUGUGCAUUAUUCGUGCAUUGUGUGUCUGUGAGAGUGAGAAAAGCACCCCUCGUGCGAGCGAUGCCAAGCCAGCUGAUGUUUUCUACCGGCGCUGCCCUUGUUCAGUUACUCUUGGACCGUGCGUCCAAGAUAAAGCUCGAGCUACGACGAAUUUACCCGAGUUUCUUCGGCGCACGUAAACGGGACGUCCUUGACCUUUGCGAACGAGGUCAAUUUACCUAGAGGAAACUUUGAGCUAUCAAGAUGAUCCCGGAUUUAGAUAAUCCACAGUUUAUUUCUAUGACAAUGACAAGAGACAAGGAGUCAAGACAAUGGGAUAACACUUUGU